rnacentral:rRNA from 1 species
UGGGGAAUUUUACGCAAUGGGGGAAACCCUGACGUAGCGACACCGCGUGAGCGAAGAAGCCUUUUGGGGUGUAAAGCUCUGUCAGCUGGAACGAACACAAUGACGGUACCAGCAGAGGAAGCAUCGGCUAACUACGUGCCAGCAGCCGCGGUAAGACGUAGGAUGCAAGCGUUGUCCGGAUUCAUUGGGCGUAAAGAGUUCGUAGGUGGUCUGUUAAGUUUGGUGUUAAAGAGCGGGGCCCAACCCCGAUAGUGCACUGAAUACUGGCAGACUUGAGUGCGGUAGAGGUAAGUGGAACUGCGAGUGUAGAGGUGAAAUUCGUAGAUAUUCGCAAGAACACCAGUGGCGAAGGCGGCUCACUGGCCCGAUACUGACGCUGAGGUGCGAAAGCGUGGGGAGCAAACA